rnacentral:lncRNA from 1 species
UAUAGAACUAGGCUACUAUGCUAUUAAUAGUACCAAGUCAUUGGUGCUACCAAGUUUUUGACCAUUGGAUUAAGAGAUAUAUGAUUAAGAUGAUGUGGGCCCUCUAGGGUUGAGUGGGUGGUUGGUUGAAUAGUAUGAUCUAACGGGUGAAAAUGAUCAAAAGGGUAGAUGUAACGGUGGAAAACUUGGUAGCACCAAGUGCUUCAUGCUAUUAAUAGCAUAGUAGCCGGAUUCUAUAUAUAUAUAUAUAUAUAUAUAUAUAUAUAUAUAAAGUCCGGCUACUAUAUUUUUUUGAGUAUGAUCGCUCUCGUACUCAUAAGUUGUUUUCGAUGAUAGAGUUUCCGAAUCAACGAUCCACACCGUUAAACGUUAUCUAGAACAUUUAAAAUGUCUAGAAAUCAAAUUUUAUAAUUUUUCGACAUCAUUUAUCUUAAGAUCAAAAUGUCACAAAAUUGACAAUUUUUAAUGGCCGAUAUGGGAUAUUUGCUAGUUUAAUGGUGCAAAAAAAUCAAAAUCAGUUGAAUUUUUGAUAGAAAAUUCUAUUCACUACAUAAAUAAUGAUCAAUAACUCCGAUCUUAAAUUGAAGGAUCCGAUCAUCCAUUUUUAAGACGUCGUUCGAUUUUGACCGUUCAUUUUAUACCCGUUCGAUGAACUUUAUUAUGAUUUCGAAAAAUUACAAAAUUUAUUUUCUAGAAGUUUUAAAUACUCUAGAUCAUAUUUAACGGAGUGGAUCGUCGAUUCGGAAGCUCCAUCAUUGAAAACAACUUAUGAGUACAAAGUGCUCUAUACUCAUAAGAGUAUAGUAGCCUUAGCCUAUAUAUAUAUAUUAUAUAUAUAGAGAGAGAGAGAGAGAGAGUCUGGCUACUAUGCUAUCGGUAGUACGAAGCGCUCCGUGCUACCAAGUUAUUUUCGAUUAUGCGGCUUUCAAAUCGACGAUCGGCUCGUUAAACUUGAUCUACACUAUUGAAAGUAUUUGGAAACUAAAUUUUAGAUUUUUUCGACAUCAUUUGACUAGUGAUCAAAAAAUCUCAAAAUUGAUAAUUUUUAGGGCCGAUGUGGUGUGUUUGUGAAUUUAACGGUAUAAAACAAUCCAAAUGCGAUGAAAAUUUUAUAGAAAAUUUUUUUCACUAUUUAGAGUAAAAUCAGUAUAUCUGAUCUUUAAUUUAAAUCUUUUAGUACCAUUUUUCAUGAGAUUUUUAUUUUCAGCCGUUCAAUGUUAGACUACUUGUUUGGUAGGUAAAUAAUAUCAAAAAAUUAUAAAAUUUAGUUUCUAAAUACUUUCAAUAGUGUAGAUAAAGUAUAACGGAGCCGAUCGUCGAUUUGGAAACCGUAUUAUCGAAAACAACUUGGUAGCACGGAGCGCACCGUGCUACCGAUAGCAUAGUAGCCUAGUUCUAUAUAUAUAUAUAAACUAAGCUAAAAUAUGUUAUUAAUAAAACAAAGUAAUUGAUGCUAUUAAGUUUUUAGUUCCCAGAUGAAGCGGUAUACGAUUAGGAUGAUAGUAAUUUUUUAGAAUUAAGUAGUAGAUUAGUUGAAUAGUAUAAUUUAACGAAUAAAAAUAAUUAAAGGAGUUGAUGUAACAUAAGGG